rfam:Schistosoma rodhaini strain Burundi genome assembly, scaffold: SROB_scaffold0000121
AUCCAGCUGACGAGUCCCAAAUAAGACAAAACGUGCCUCCUGGAU